rnacentral:rRNA from 1 species
UACGGGGGGGGUAAGCGUUGUUCGGAAUUACUGGGCGUAAAGGGCUCGUAGGCGGCCAACUAAGUCAUACGUGAAAUCCCUCAGCUUAACUGGGGGACUGCGUGUGAUACUGGAUGGCUUGGAUUUGGGAGAGGGAUGCGGAAUUCCAGGUGUAGCGGUGAAAUGCGUAGAUAUCUGGAGGAACACCGGUGGCGAAGGCGGCAUCCUGGACCAAUAUUGACGCUGAGGAGCGAAAGCCAGGGGAGCAAACAGG